UGGUAAAAAUUGACCCAGUCUAUCUGAAUGGUUUUUCUCCCUGUAUACUUAUCAUAAUUUCUGUGUCAGUUCCUCAGUCCUGCUGCAGGAGGCGCCAGUGAGUCUCCUCUGAUUGGCCAAUCAACCAUGAGGCUUCAGGAAUUAUGGGGAAACAACGUAACAUUUGCCAGGCGCUGAAGUACCUGUAUCAUAACGGAUCCUGUGGAAGAACACAUAAAGAUUGUGCUUGAGAAGAGAGGAGAAGCUUCAGCGGCCCUGAGCAGAGUUUACAAGCCAUGUCCAUCUCUGACAGUCCUGCGUCCUCCAUCUGUAUGUUUGCUCUCCAUCAUCAGUCCUCCAGCUCUCCUGGCCCCCUGAACCCCGACUCUAGCACCAUGAGCGCUCAGAUGCCUCAGAUGGACACGGGUCUGUACAGCCAGCCCAUGGCCUUUCCCAAGACGCCAGACGGCCGGAGCAUGGAGCAGAUGAUGGGCU